rnacentral:rRNA from 1 species
UGAUGACGAGACGCUAAGGCGUUGAAGCAGUGUAUGUCAGACUUCCAAGAAAAGCUCGCAAUGUCACAAAUAAAGAAUGCCUGUACCAUAACCGACACAGGUGGGUAGGUAGAGUAUACUAAGGGGCGCGAGAUAACUCUCUCUAAGGAACUCGGCAAAAUGACUCCGUAACUUCGGGAGAAGGAGUGCCUUAUUUAUAAGGUUGCAAUAACAAGAUCCAAGCAACUGUUUAUCAAAAACACAGGUCUCCGCUAAGUCGUAAGACGAUGUAUGGGGGCUGACGCCUGCCCAGUGCCAGAAGGUUAAAGAAGUUGGUUAGUGUAUGCGAAGCUGAUGACUGAAGCCCUGGUGAACGGCGGCCGUAACUAUAACGGUCCUAAGGUAGCGAAAUUCCUUGUCGGAUAAGUUCCGACCCGCACGAAAGGCGUAAUGAUUUGGAUACUGUCUCGGAGAGAGGCUCGGUGAAAUAGACUUGUCUGUGAAGAUGCGGACUACCUGCACCAGGACAGAAAGACCCUAUGAAGCUUUACUGUAACUUGAAAUUGGAAUUGGACUUUGCUUGCGCAGUAUAGGUGGGAAGCGUUGAAAAUAUUCUUGCGGGAGUAUUGGAGCUAUCAGUGAGAUACCACUCUUGUAAUGUUAGAUUUCUAACUUUGAACCAUAAUCUGGUCAAAGAACAGUUUCAGGUGGGCAGUUUGACUGGGGCGGUCGCCUCCCAAAUGGUAACGGAGGCGUACAAAGGUUUCCUCUGAACGGAUAGAAAUCGUAUCUAGAGUGUAAAGGCAUAAGGAAGCUUGACUGUGAGACCUACAAGUCGAGCAGGGACGAAAGUCGGUCUUAGUGAUCUGACGGUACUGAGUGGAAAGGCCGUCACUCAACGGAUAAAAGUUACUCUAAGGAUAACAGGCUGAUCUCCCCCAAGAGUUCACAUCGACGGGGAGGUUUGGCACCUCGAUGUCGGCUCAUCGCAUCCUGGGGCGGUAGUACGUCCCAAGGGUUGGGCUGUUCGCCCAUGAAAGCGGUACGCGAGCUGGGUUCAGAACGUCGUGAGACAGUUCGGUCCAUAUCCGGUGUAGGCGCUAGAAUAUUGAGAGGAGCCUUCUUUAGUACGAGAGGACCGAGAAGGACACACCGCUGGUGUACCAGUUAUCGUGCCAACGGUAAACGCUGGGUAGCUAUGUGUGGAGUGGAUAACCGCUGAAAGCAUCUAAGUGGGAAGCCCACCUCGAGAUGAGUAUUC